UCCUUAUGUGGUUAUUGGUAUUUUUCUUAGAGACAGAAAUGUUAUGAACGUAUUGGAACACCUAGAAAAUAAAGCAUUACCUACCACACUAACAUUUAUCUACAUACCUUAAUAUUUAUGAUGGGAAACAAAUUAAAUUAUGGUGAUUUUAGGGGGUUUUGUUGUUUGGGCCCCUCUUAGGAAAUGCAUCACUCAAAUUGUAUUGAAGUUACUGUUUAUAAGGACAGAUAUUUAUUUGCUUAAGCAAAAGUUGCAUUUUUUAGUACUGGUUCACUAACUCAAGUGUAUAUAGUAAGUAUAUCAGAAGUUAACUACCACAUGAUGUGUAUUCCAAAAAGAACACUUUACCAAAACCUGAUCUCCUUUCUAAUCGACCCGGCACACUUGUGGACUCUGUCCUCACUCUGGCUCUCUGCGCUCUCUGCCCGGUCACCCACGCCACUGACUAAUGUCAGCGCUGGCUGUCUCUCAACCAGUUACAAGACAGGAAACAUCACAUAGACAUACACGAUCAGCCAAAAUGACCAGAACAUGUUUGAGAGUUUAAUAUCGAUAUACAGGUCAUUUAAUACUGACCCCGAAUUAUUGCAUGGGAUUAUAUAUGUUGGUGCACUUAGGUUGCAUGCACUGAUUUAGAUUGAUUUAGGAGUAUGUUUUGUGGCAGAACUCUGCUAAGUUGUAUACUUUUAAUUGGGAACGCAGACUCAGCAUUUUUAUGAUUCCUUAGAAAUUUUUUUAUGAUAAAAGCUUGAAUUUCUUAGAGGAAGUAUGUCCUUUGGAUUUCUCGUUUGUAUUUUACUUUUCUUUUUGUCUUUCUUAUCUUGUUAUAUUGUUUUCCUCAUCUAGUGCUCAAUUUUUUUUUGACUCUUGAUUUCCUAGUUAAUACACAUUUUUGGAAGUAAGACUACAAAUCCUUAAAAUUGAGAUAAGAUUGCUUUGUAUAUGAAGUGCUAGAAAGAGUCAUUGAGAUUGAAGACUUGAAUACUAUGAGGGGGACCCCCGAAAAUGGAAUUUAUUUAUAAAAAGUUGUGUAUUUAUCCUUAGAUGUUUGAACUCCAGUCACCUUCAAAGUACUCUCCAUUUGAUCCAACACACCUGUCGAGAUGUUCUUUCUGCUGCUCAAAACAGUUUUUGAACGCAUCGAUUUUGAUGCCUUUUAACGCUUCAGCAGUUUUUUUUGUUUCGCCUUUUCCACAUGGACAAAAUAUUUCCCUUUGAGGACUUUUUUCAUUCAGGGAAACAAAAGAAAGUCACUGGGGCGAGAUGGGGCAAAUAGGGAGGGUGGGGCACAGGGUUGAUGCAGAUUUUGGUCAAAAACUGCUGAACACGCAGCGUGAUGUGGGCAGGUACACUUGUAAAUCACCCAUCAUGAAAUGGGCAAAUGCAUUGAAAGAGUCUUCAAAAAAAA